CAUUAAUUGUGCUCACUGUGCAGUUUGAAUGAAGGAAGAAUCAGAAGAACUGAACUCAGUCACUUGGCAGAUUUCAGUAGUAAUAAAUUGCCCCCAGUGGUAAUCUGAUGAUAAAUCCAGGGUCAUAUUUGUGAUACAAUAGAAAAACCUGUCCUCAUUGCUUUUCCUUCUGGUUAUGUCUUCUGUCUUGCUUCUGUCCCUAUGUAUAUUUUAACAAUAGAUGGCAGGGUAAUGGGCAGGGAUAACUUUCCGACCUUCAUAAUUGGAUCACUGAGUUGGCAGCAGCACUGUGCUGUGAAUACAAAAGCAAUCUGAGAUGAAAAAAUGCUCAUCUGUUCUCUGUGCUGUAAGGCCUUGGUGUUAAAACCUUGUCUUGUGUGCUAAUGUCAGUGUACAAGUCUUCUGGAAAAACUGCAUUUAUUGCAAGUGACUCACCUAAUUGCUUGUGAAACUUUCCAGGGUUACAUCAAAUGCACCACAAGGAAGUUCAGGCACUGAACUGAUAAUGGCAAAGUACUUUCUUGUGGCAAUUAACAGGAAAUUAGUUUUUUUUUUUGGAUAUGAACUAAUAAAAGGAGUAGACUAAAAAGUUACUCCAAAAAAUAAAUCAGGACUAUUCAGCAACAAUGUGGAGGAUGGCCCUAGACUUCUGAUUGUUUUGAGAUGUUUCUGCCUGUACACUUUCAUCUCUCUCUGGGCAGGAAAAAAAAAAUAAUUGAAAACCAGCUGGGUGUGUAUCUGUGCCUGUCUGAAUCAGAGCUGACUGGCUUUACAGAUUGCAGAUGGCGUUGUGAAUGGCUGUUUGAUGUCAUGGUAGGUCUUUCUUUUUGACCAGGAAAAUCGUCCUUGACUUCUUAUUAUAGAUUUUGUAACUGGUAAGUUCUGUUUAAUACAACUUGCCAAACUAUUUCUGUAGCAUCACGAUCAGUCCAUUUUCAAUAUCCUGUAUCUGUGCUUAAGGGUAGCAUUUGUUAGUGCCUCAUGUAAUUGCAAAGUUAAUCCAGUUAGAUCUGUCUGUGUGUGGUGUCACAUGGCUUUCAGCUAGCUUUCAGAACAGGAAAAACCCAAUGAAAAACAGGGAAAUGGUGACGUUAACAGGAAAACACCCCAGGAGCUGAUACAACCACGCGUUAAGCCCAGCUCUCUACAGAAGCUUUGAGUUCAUGAAGUGAGUCAGCCCCCUAUGACUUUUCUGACAGAACUGCUGCAAGCCUAUAACCUUUAAUUCUGCAGGUGCCCCCUGUUGCCCAUCGCUGCUGCUGCCUUGCCAUGCUGGUGGCUAACAUCUGGGCUACUGUUUUCCAGGAUUUCAUGGACUGUGCAAGUUUUGUGGACAGAUCCAUACCAGCUUUAGUUUAAGACCCCUAAAUCUGGGUACCUGUGUGCAUGCACAUGUGCUGGGUGUCUAAGCUCCUGCUGCAGAUGGCGGAGCUGGAUUCAGUACAGGCCAUGGAGCUUUAAUGUGGGAGCUGUUCAGCCCACUCCAAAACACCUCCGUUCAACUCCACUGACUGCACCAGCAGCUUGGUCAUCUUGUUCACGUGCAGGCAGCUCUGUCGGGUGCUCGUGGAGGCACGUCUCAGCCUUCAUUUCCAGAGCCUUCAAGGACACGAUCAUCCUGCAGUUCCUGCACAACUAACACAUCCUGGUUUUUGAAUUCAGCGUUGUACCUAACUACCUGCAGGUGAAAAGAAGCCAUAGGUGCUCUUUUCUGACAUCUGAAUAAGGCUACUGACUACUGGUACUUCAACAAGAUUAGAUAAGAAGCUAUUGUGAAAAUCCAACAGACCAUGAAGUACAAGGAGGGGAGAAAAUAAUACAAGGCCAGGUCCCCAAAAUAGCAAAUACCUCCCUCCCUCCCCUCCAGCUUGGUAGCUGGCAAGCAUUCAAGCUGAUAUUACUUGCAUUCUUAAAGCCACUUCAGCAAACAAUAUUUUAUGAAGGAAAAUUGCCUGAGAUAUGACAAGGGUUUGAACAGGUGGAAUGUGUCGUUAUUGAAUUUGUUCAAUGAUGAUUCAGACACCUUCGUCUUCUGAAUUUGCUAACCUGUGUUGGAAUAGAAAUCUGAGUGCUAUGUGCCCUAUUUCCUGACGCAGCUUCUUGCAGGAGCCUUUGAAGACCGUCACAGCUGUGAGAUUAAAAGCUCGGUUCCAAAGUCAGGGAAUUGUGAAAGUCUUUGAUAUGAGAUCAAGCCUCCCAGUGUAUUAACACAAAGGGUGCUUGAAAGCUCCAACUUGGUGCCUUAGUUACCUUUAAAAAAUAAAAAUAAAAAUUAUUCAAGAUCUGUCCAGCUAAUAAAGAGACAGAAAAAGCACAUCCUAUCCUCUAAGGCAACAAUGAAAUGGCAGUAAGUACAUGGCUUCAGAGAAGCAGCAGAAUGUGUAGUUUUUCAAUAGUACACAAAUAUAGUGAGAGUGAAUCCUUGGAAAAAAAAAGGCAAACCUAAGGAGGAAAAUAACACCAUAAUAUGUCUUUGAAGCUGAAAUUAUACACAUGAAAGAAAAUCGGACUGUUAUAAAACAUAUCCAGAAAGGUAGCACAAUAAACUAUAACAAUGUGAGAUGGAUUUUAUCAGGUACAGUGGUGACAUGGUCCUGCUCAAAAAAAGCAACUGAGUGAAUGUAUGAUCAGAAAUAGCUGAAUGGCUAAGGCAAAGACUAAAAAGCUGCUGCUUCCAACCAAAACGAAACCGAACAAAACACAGGCGCUGCUGUUUUAAUUUCUAAUGAGGCUUGCUUUACCACUUUAGUAUCCAAAGCUGAAAACAGACAAGUCAGCAAGACAAAUUUAUGAGUGCAGGAAACCUUAAAACCAAGGCAGUACAUUUUUGAUUUUUAUAUUGCUAUGGCCCUUUGGUGCAGAAGGGAGACAGAAAGCCUGGGGGAAGGAAGAAAAAAGGAACAGAGACUAAACAGAGAAAAGAAAUCACAGCUGAGAAGCACCUGUAGAAAAGAUGGAAGAAAUGUAGAAAAGCACAUACAGAAGGUAGCUGGCACAUGAGAGUUCAUUUAGCUUCUUUAUUGCAUUGUCAAGGAUAGUGUGCAGUCAAUAAUCCAUCAUAUCUUUUUUCAUGUCACAGCCUGGUGAGGUUAUUUUUCUCCAUUCCCUGUUGUUUAUCAUCUUGUCACUUUGUUUUCUUUUUCCAUCAGCCUCCAAAGUCUAAUCUGAAUGAUUGCAGUAUAUUUCAGAUUGUUGUGCCUACAGGCUGUGUUUGUAGACCAUUAAGAGCUAUGCUUGGCUUGCAAUGUAGUUAAAAGCAGCUAUACGCUGACAUUUGUACAGUUAAAAUGUAAAAAUUGAGUGUUUUCUCUCAUAUGUUCUCAUACCAGUUGCUGCCCAAAUGAAUACUAAUUGUUGUGGCAUUCCCUUGUUCACCAAAUUUUUCUAGGUCUCUGUAUCUUGGGUGAUGCUAUGGUCCUGAAGACAAAGUACAGAAAGUUAAUUUUGGCUUUCUUGAAUUGCUCUAAUACAAUGGAAGUGCCAGCUCAUGUUCACAGUAUGUUGGUUGUGGGCAUACUUGAAACAAAAUCUUCUCAGGGCACUGAGAGACCCUGCCUGUCCCACAGAGAACGUCAAAUGACUGUGUCAUCUACUGCCAGGAAGGCAGUAAACCAUCAGGUGACAGCAUUGUUUGCAAAACUGGGAUCAUCACAUGAUUCCUGGCAGCUGCAAUUUCAUAAAGGAAGACCUAUGAUUUAUAUCAUAAGGUAGCUUUCUGUGAGGUUUUGUUUCCAGACACACCCUCUGAAAUAAAUUUAGUUCCUAAAAUACUCCACUGGUGAGUGUUUGGCAGAGCAAUGUGCAAGUCUGCAUUGAGGAUGUGAUAAUUCGGGUGAAAACUGCAAGAAAUGUAACUCCAACA